rnacentral:misc_RNA from 1 species
GCAACCAUGAUUCAGAAGGUGAAUCGAGCAAGAACUGCAAAGGUCUGAGAACAAUUAACUUAUCGCAUUUUUGUUAUGAGUUACAGUUAGAAUUAACAGUACAGAUUAACUCUCUACAAAUUGAAUGAAACUUAGAGCACAACAGUGUUUUAACUACGGAUGAAGAAACCCACAAAUACUUGCAGUCUACAAGUCAAAACAUCAACUCAUCAAAAGAGACAUCUAGAGAUGAUAAAUCAGAAAUCAUAUAAAAGGCAAUUCAAUGGAUUUUUUUUAGCAAACAAGAACAUAUACAUUAUAUAGUACAACAUGAAUACAAGAUUUCUGAGGGUAGCUCAAUGGGGUGAUCUUGCAUUUGGCUCGGACUGUAUCCUGAAGGGGGUAAGAGAUCAAAAUUGAAUACCGCAGAUAUUGCUAUUGUUGGCCCAAUCUUUCCUGAAGCAUCUGCAUCAAUUUUGGAUUCUGCUCCAAAAGCCUACAGAGUUCUUCCUUGUUGCUCAAUAAAGACGUAAUAGCUUUAGGAUCCUGGAAAUACUCUUGUAAUGACAUUCCUAACUCUUGUUGAUGCCUAUUUGCAGCAUCUCCUUGCUGAUGUGGAACUUGUGGUUGACCAUGUUCAACUUGCUGCUGCUGCUGAGAUUGAUAAUGGGUAUGCAUAGGAGAAAUCUGUGGCUGCUGCAGUAUUUGUAAUUGAUGCAUUUGAACAGAGUUUUGCAAAGAAACCCCUUGCUCAAGCUGCUGAGAAGAUUGUACAGGUGGCCAGAGAUGCUGAGGUGGCUGUGGAGGACGUUGAAGUGGAGGCUGGAGAGGCUGUAACUGAUGAAUUGAUUGAAUGGAAGAUUGAGGAAUUGGUAUAUUUUGCAUGAUAGUUGGGUUCUCGCCUUGCUGCUGAAUUGGGGUGCUUCCAUAAGGAGUAGCAGGAAUUGUACCUGGCCUACUGAAAACUAAAGGUGGCAUUAGAGGGGGAGGCACAUAAGAGGUUAGUCCACCACCUGUUACAGAAAUAUUUCCGAAUCGAGCAUCAAUUAUAGGUGAAAUAGAGGUCUGUGGAAGUUCAGUAGUUCCAACAGGGUAUACUGAAGAUUGGGAAGUAGAAGCCUUUAAAGAUGGUAAAUUAUAUGGGCUAGAUGAGAAAGGUGGUGGUGUGGGAGGAAGUGGUGGAUGAGGCCCAGCAGAACCACUGGGAGAAGAGAUAGAAGCCCGUAAAUACUUGGAAUCUGACACGGGAAGGGAGGAUGCUAAUGAUGCAGCGCUGUUACCAAAUGCAGACAGAUAAUCUGACUGAACUUGGAAUGCCGUGGCAAGGGGUUGCUGACCUUCUGUCAAAGAGUUGACAAAGGGGGAUGACUGACUGGGGACUGGAUCAGGGUUCUGAGAUAUAAAAGGUGAGAUUGUUGAUGGAGGUGGCAUUGGAGGCAAAGGUGGUUGAUUCAGAGGAACUUUCUGCUCAUAAAGUCCCCGAGAUCCUGAAGCAUUCUGUGGACUAUUCUUCAUAUAGAAAUUUUGUGAAGUAAUCCUAGAAUCUGUUGGUGCCUUAUUAUAAACAGAAGCAGGAAAACCUGAAGUACUAGGAGCUGCAACAGAAUCAAACCCAGAAGAGGUCUUAACUGGAACAACAUUCUUCAUGUCAUCAGGAUGCUCAAAAAACUUCUUAUCUGAAGAAACACUGGGCUCUCGGUUCAAUGGCAUUUCAGGCCGUGAAACAGACAUUCUCGAAGAGAACUCACUUUGGGUGUUUUCAUCAAUGUUAGAAGCUAAUGGUGUACCCAAACUAGGAAAUUGACCACUUUCAUUAGCAUCACUCUCCGUCUCUUCAACAAUUGAAUGGGGUGAACUCUGCUCAACUAUAACAGGGGCAGGCUGCUGUAAAUUAUCGUCAGGUUGAGGAAAAGGCAAUUUAUCAUCAGAUUCAGACUCCUCACCAUCAAAAACUAUAUCUAUUCCCUGAAGAUCAUCAUCGAGAUCUGUUUUCAACUGCUUAGGCUUGUUUACUUUUUCUCUCUCUGUAUCAAUAAGCGGAGCUGCAUUCUUCAAUUGUUCUGAAGGCUCCCCAACUACGGCUGCCAUAGGGUUCUGGCGUUCCCUUUGUCUGGCCAUAAAUUCAUCCACAUGAAUUGAGGGAGGUCUUCCACCAGUAGAUCCUACUCGCUGGACUGCUAUGACAUUAGAAUUGGUACCAGCAUCAACAUUUCUUUCCCUUGCAACAUAGUCAUCCACAUGCAUUGAUGGUGGCCUGCUAGUAUUUGGCUUUCGUUGCCUAAAAGUGUCCCUGCGAGUUGGGGCGGAAGAAGCAGUAGAUGGACCCAACCCCCGUGAAAAUGCAUUUUGACCUGUGACCUCCGCCACUGAAUUUUCUCCUUUAACACGCUUACCAGCACUAUCUAGGGAUGACAAUUUCCUUUUGCUAGGAAUAGACUGUGACAAUCUAUCAGGUAACAUUUCUGGACAUUCCCACAGAAACUUCUCCCCAAGGUCCCCAAGGUAAAGAAAAUCAUCAAACUUUCCAGCAUUGGUAUCUGAUAUCUGAUUUAUUUUUGGAGAAACCAUGACAUCAUUUUGUGACAACGAAACAACUUUACUACACAUGAGAUGAUCCAGUGCAAUUGAACCAGUAGGCUUUUCCAAAAAUAACAUCAAUGACUUGGCAGACUCUGAAGCCUGACGCAAAGUGGCACCCAUCUCCAAGGUAGCUAAACAGUCAUCAUCUGAUGUCUUUGAACUCAACAGUGUAGUCAUCUCCCGUAUUAAAGUCAUAUUUUCUAAAGAACCAUCUGUCCCAUCCAUAUCAUCUUGAAGCCCAAAUAGACGUUUUAUUGCAUCCACAGAAUUUGAAUUCAGACUAAAAAAAAAGGGAGGGGAAGAGGAAAAAAACAAGUGAGCUUUAAAAACAACGAUUUGGAAAAUCAUAAUGGGAGUAGAAGUUUAUUUCAUAAAGCAAGAUAUUCAAGAGUCAGAGACAAUGCCAGUACAGCAAAUGUAUUUCUAUUUUUAGUUCAGAGCCAGUAUCCAAAACAAUAUAAAUGAAGAAAACUGUAGAUACUACAGAAUCUCAUCCUGCCUUUAAAAUGAACAUCUUAUUUAUUACAUAUUUGAAAAUAGUAGUAUCCAAAAAAUAUAAUGUUCCAGGCUGCUUUGUUGCAAAUCCUUAGCUGACCCAGAUUACCCUGAAGAGAUAGCGUGCCCAUCCUUUACAAAGGUAAAAAUAUGUAGAAACUUCAACCUCAAACCAUUUCAAUCCAAGCACCGCGAGUCAAAAUUUUUGGGAGAGAUAUAAAAACAAUACCCUGUGUUUUAGUGCUAUUUAAGCAUUGCUGUUACUCCGUAAUUCGCAUACAAACACCACCACAAAAACAACUAAGUUUUUAAUCCCAAACUAGUUAGAGUCGGCUAUAUAUAUCCUUUUUUGCCAUUCAGCUCUAUAUGUAUACAAACAUCAAACUACAAUAAUCAAUAAAAUUAUAAGAAUUUCCACCUAUAACUGUUAUUUCUCUACUUCUAUAAAACCUUGAAACCAAGUGCCUCACCCAUAUCACAUUAACAACAGUGUUCAACUUGCAAUAUCCGGUUACCAAGACAGAAAGGUUUCAAUAAACUUAGUACAUUCUAAGACAGGCAAAAUCUACUAAGCAACUCUCCCUCAUGUAGCUUUUAUAUGAAAAUUAAGAUGGAAGUGACUGCAUCAAAUUAAGUUUUGCAUUCGAUGGUAUCAAGAUAUCUUUUGUCAGUAAUCCAACUGCAAGUUAAAAAUAGAACUACCACAAUAAACACCAACUGCUACAACGUUAAAGAGUUUAAAUGCUAAAAGAUACCAUAGAAUUUAGAUGAAUCAUCUUCAAUAUAUUUCUGGAAUUAUAACACAUUAUCUGCAAAUUGUAGUUAAUACAUGAAAAAAUAGACAAGCUAAUAAUCCACAAGCCAAAAUAAUAUCGUAUGCAAAACUGGCAUAAAGUGCAAAGCAUUUUGGACAGAAAAAAAAAGCUCUCGUAAAUUCCAAAAACUCAAAAUGCCUGCUCACUAAUGUUUUCAAAUUUUCUUUUCCUUCGCAAGAAUACCACUCACUAAUCCUGCGUGGCAUUUUUAGGUUGACAAAUUGAAUUAUUUAGCUCAAGGUAGUUGACUCACCUUUUACCAUCCAUGCAAAAGCACAAUGAACCUAUAAAUAAUUCAUUAACAGCCUCAAUUGCACAAGCUGACAGAGCAUCCUUUGAAUCAAUUGAUUUCAUCAAUUUUUUCCAGCAAUAAAGCAAAGGAGGAUACUUUUUCCUUUCAAAAUCAUCAAGAUUAUAGUUCCCAUUCCUUUCAUGCACACUUUCUGAUCUAAGUUCCUCACUGCUGGUCUUGACAUCACGUAAUGAAGUCAGCAAAGCACUUCGACCUUCAUUGCAAGAACCUAGUUCUUUAAAACAGGUAAGACAAGACAGUAAUUCUUUUCCAACUGGUAGGACCUGGCAGAACUUAAACAUAUAUGGCACAAUCAACAAAAAAUCUGUGUUGGUCAAAUUUGCAGAACUGAGCGAAUCACAUCUCCCAGAGUAUAGUAAAGAUGUUUGACCCAAAAGAAGUGGUAAACACUUAAAUACAGGAAGACACCAACUAAUCAAAGUAAACCCAUGUUUAGCUGAACUUUUACUGUCCGGGAUCUGUUUCUCAUCAUAAUCAAUAGCAUCAAAACACUUCUCCAGCACUUUUAUUAGAACCUGAGGAAAGCCCUCCUCCAAUAAUAGCACCUUGGCACUAGGAUGCUCCAAUAUACUAGCAAUGAAGUCUAGAUAUCUGUAAACCUUAUAAGCAUCUACGUCUGAUGGAAAAGAUGAGUCAGAAACAUGAUUAUGGAUGGAGGAUAAUAUGGGCCGCAGAAGUAUGGAAGCAUUUUCAACUUUUUGGCUAGCAAUGCGGAUUACAAAAAGUCGAAGCAUGUCUUGGAUGACUACCAAUGCCGAUAUAGCAUAAUGCUGAAUAAUAUGCGCAAUUUUAUCAAGAUGUGGUGUCAAUUGGCUAAGAAGUUUCUCAAGGUGAAAAGGCUCCAAAUACCAGUUGACCUGCCUUUCCUUCUGUGGCCCCAAUAAUGUACCAACAGCCAAUGUUCUCAGUGCACUCAGCAAAGGCAUUCCAUUCUUCCAAAGCCAGAUACCUUCUUCAGGGAAUAAAUCAUUCAGAAGACACAGCAAACUGCAGGUUUCCUUUGGACCCAAGGCUAGCAUUGAAGUAACUUGCACAUUGGAAAGAAGGGAAUGGAAAAGACCAGGAGUCCAGCCAUAUACAGGCCAACAAGUAAGUGCUGACACAACAAGGUGGCAGACAGCUCCAAAACCAAGUGCAGAAUCAGGAUACGAUGAAGACAAGUCUGCUGCACACGCAGCAAGCUUUGGGCUUACUUCUCGAUGCAGUCGCAAAAGGGCAUUCAUUAGUUUUGUAUUUCUGUGCUGCUCUUUAGCUUCCAGCAAUUUCUGCAAAAGGGUGAUCAGCAAAACCAGAGAAGGCACCAAAAGGUCAACCAAGCUCUGCUCACGAUUACGUUCCAGUAGUAAAUCAGAAGUAGAAUUGCAUUCUGUACCCUCAUCAACAAGGUAAUCAUAAUUAUUCGAGGAUCUCUCAAGCAUGAAGCUGCAGUCGACCAGAAUUGCAUAGAUUACUGUUAUAGCACCUUCAUCAUAUAAAGCAGCAGCAACAGUUGAGUUUUCUGAAAUAAAGGCCAAUAUUCGAAUAGCUGUUGUCAACUGUGCUAUAGAUGAAUCACGAAGUGUAACACCAUCAAAUGUCUUCUCUGAGACAAGUUUUCCUAGAUUGUCCAUAACAUUUAUAUCAGAAUUACCAGAAGCAUCUCCAAUGACAUUCUCCACAUCUGCCAAAUCUGACACUAGAAUACUGGUAGAGGUCAAAUGAGCAUCUCCCCCAGAAGCUAACACAGCAGAAUACCGUAGAAGACCAAUAGCACCAUUUUUAUGAUAAACUGCACCAGCAUCUAUCCACUCUAACAGCCUGGUUGGAGCAUCUUUCCUAUUCGACCCAGGGGAAGAAGAAUGUAAUGCCUUGUGAAGUUCCACAGCAUGUCCAAUCCAAGAACCAAGGGACGAUGCAGUUGAAUCAUUAACAAUGAUUUCAAAAAUCUCAGCAGCAGAAUGAAAAAUUGCAAGAUUUAUUGGAGAGGCUCCACUAUUCUUGGAAACUGGUUCUGAUUCCUUAACAAAAUGUAAAGCUUCAAUCAAGAUUGAUACAGCCUCUGGGAAGUAUCCAAGAACCAACAAAGCCUGGCGUCCACAAUCAGACCUAGAGAGACCACACAGCUCCCACAACACCCAUAAAAAUUCUUCAGAGUGUGGAGUCGAUGCAACCAAACGAUCAAUUGCAUUAACCACCCUCAAAUGCAUCUCAACAAUAAUCCCAACUUCACGUGGACUGCAAACAAAACCCUUUGACAAUAAAAUAGAUGCAUAUCGAAGAGGAACACAUUCUUCCUUACUUAUGUUCCCUGAACCCCUUAGAGCAUCAAUUAAUGUAGUGGAGAGUUCAGGGUGUUGCGAAAGGAAAAUUAAACCUGAACGCGACAUUAGCAGUGAAAGAAGUAUGGCCCCAAUAGUUGAAGCAAUAUCAAUAAAUGUGUCCAUAGUAUCUCCAACUUCUGAACGCAAUACGGGUGAUGACAACAGCGCAGCUGACAAAGGAAGAAAGCCCCUUUCCUUCAGGAGUGCAAGCAAUUGCAAGUCCAUAUCCCAGUUAGAAAAGCAGCAGUUUGAUGAACAAAUCAAGUUACUGGUUGCUUUAUAUGACAAUAAUCCUUCUGUUUGACCAAGGAUCAAUGACCUGCUUGCACAAGCCACUAGAGAAGGAUCUUCAACUGGACCACGGGAACUUAUCAAUUUCAAAAGCCUCUUUAGUUGAGAUUUAGCAUUGUUAAGCAUGUCUGAAGUAACACUUGUAACUCGUCCAACAGCAGAAAGGCCCCCCAAUACAGACAGGACAGCACACUCGUAUCUUGCAGCAACUUCAUAAAAUCGUAACCGAUGAAGAACAUAGGUUGCCAAAGAAGCAACAUCAUGUCGUGGCUUUUGCAAGAACAACCUCAACAAUUGACUAUAGCCUUUGCUAAUACCAGAUGGGAUGUUUUCAUCUUCACGAGGCCACCAACCUAGAAUUCCUUCACAACCAAUUGGAUAACGUGUAGCCUUCUCAAUAACUCCGAGUAACAGUAACAAAGUGGCAGAAGAAUUCUGCAUGCCAUGAGAGAAAGCAUCUGCAAGCUGCCCCAUUCCCCCACCAUUGACGAAGUGAAAGCAGCUUUCUCUAUCAGAGCACAAUAAAAGAGCCAUACUCAGCCCCAGAAUAAUAUUCCUGUUCUGUGAAAGCUGGUGAUGUCCGAAGUUUAUGGAGUUCUUGUUAAAACACCAGUACUGGGUUAAUAUGUCCACCAACUGCUUUGAAGUAGCCAAAUCAGCAUCAGAUUCAAAAGAAGUGCACUCUGCUAACAACUCAGCUGACUCAUCUUCUGAACCUUGUUGAAGCACUUCAAGAAGCUGCUUUCUAGACUCAUUAAUAAUGUGGUGCAACUGAUCACCUUCUUUGGAUCCACCCAUUUCAAAACAUCUCUGUUUGAUUCCUUCGCUAGAUAUAUCAUGAGUAACAUGAGAACAAACUGCUGUCACUAGAGCACCAACAACUUUAUGUAAAGAAUCCUUGAGAUUUGACAACCCCAACAUCUUCAAAAUUAGCUGCAAAAACUGUUUAACCUCGAAAGAUAUAUCUGAAGCAGCAACUGGUAAUGAUAAUACCUUCAAAGAGGUUAGGGAUUCCUCAACUGCCCUAUUAGCUGAACGUAAUGCCAGAGGAAGAUCCUCAAGCUUUCCCUCGGAAGAACUAACAAGAUUAGUUAAAGAACUAUCAUCAAAUUCAAUAUUGAACUGCCCUAAAUCCUCUGCUGUGUUUCCAUAUAUGACCAAACUUAGACUGCGGUAGCUACCCCUUACAACCAGAUGAUUUGUUACAACAGCCUCAACUUCUAGAACAUUUGAUGAAGAAUGAGAAUAGAGGAAUGGCUGGCACAGACGCCUAAAUCUUGUCUCUCCCUCACACUGAACAAAUACCUCCAGAGCAAAUGAAGGAGGUGAGGUGGCCCCAACAAGCGGCACCACUUGGGAGCUCGAUGAAGCGUUCUGUUCGAGGAACUCACAAGCAGUAAUUACAAUUGGCUCAGCAAACAAUACCUCAUCAACGUAUUCAUCUAGUUGGGGAUGAACGAAGGUCUGGGAGAACAAGACGCAGGGCUCGGGUCGACCCAUAGUUAGUGUAUUCGGAUCCUUGUAUUCAAAUCAGGCAAACAGAGAGACAAAGAGGGCGCGCAUUGAAGGUCUUGUGAGACCGAAUUCACAUGGCAUUCUAGGGUUUUAAGGGUAAUUGGAUUUUGGGGGGAGUUCUGUUGGUGACUUUAAAGAGGGGAAGACAUGAGUAUGUUUUGGGCAUACA